AUUGAACGCUGGCGGCAGGCCUAACACAUGCAAGUCGAACGAGUGGCGGACGGGUGAGUAAUGUCUGGGAACCUGCCUGGUAGAGGGGGAUAACUACUCGAAAGAGUAGCUAAUACCGCAUACAAUCAGAGGGGCCCAUAUCGGAUUAGCUUGUUGUUGGGGUAACGGCUCACCAAGGCAACGAUCCAUAGAUGGUGUGAGAGGAGGACCAGCCACACUGGAACUGAGACACGGUCCAGACUCCUACGGGAGGCAGCAGUGGGGAAUAUUGCACAAUGGGGGCAAGCCUGAGGCAGCCCUGCCGCGUGGAUGAAGAAGGCCUUCGGGUUGUAAAGUACUUUCAGCGGGGAGGCGUUAUCCGCAGAAUAAGCACCGGCUAACUCCGUGCCAGCAGCCGCGGUAAUUC
rnacentral:rRNA from 1 species